ACUUUCAAAUUAUCACCAUAACCAAUAAUUACAAUUAAAGUACUUAUAACUCCUAGUAGUUUUCCAACCAACCAAUUAAACUUUCAUCCUUGCAAAAAAAAACAUAAUAUUUGUUUUAACAUUCAUCAAACAGCUAGAAUGUCCUACUAAUUGUUUGCCACGAUUUCACCAAAAUAGCACUAGAUAAAUUAAAAUCAACUAAACCACUAGUAGACCAACUUCUUGUAAUAUGUGCAGCAACACUUUGUCCUUUUACAGUUAGAGCACUUCCAUAUAAGUGGAUAAGUAUCCAUAUGCUGCAACACCUUGUCCACUUUUGAAUUUCAGCACAUCAAUCUUCGCAAAUUUUUACCUAUAGCAUAAGUAUAUUAUGUAUUAAAAUCUAUCGUAAUUAUCAAAUGAAACAAACAUAUCAGAUAUUAACAGUUAACAUAAUUUGAAAGCUAGAAAAGGAAAAACAUACUAGUUUUGUUGGCCAAGCUAUAGGAGCACCAAUUGAAUCAGCAAUUGUCUGCAAAGGCACAUAAGGCCUAAUCAAAUGCUCAUCACGUUCAACCACAACUUGAACUAGUACUUCACACCAAUUCGAACCUAGUGGUUGGCCCCCAACUAUUGUAGAAGGAUCAAGGGAUUGAAGCCGUCCAAUUGCCACAACUUUUGUUGGCUCAUCUAAGCUAAAAAGAGAAAUCCAGUCUCCCUCCUACAUGAAAAUGCAAAACUCGAAACAUCAGAAAACUAACCAUAUGCAAAGCAGUCACAUCAAAAUUCCAGUCCAUGUUGUGUAGCAAGUAACAUUAUAGUAAGAAAACUAUGAAUCAUACUUCUACAAAAGUCCACAACUACUCAAGAGUAACAUGUAACAAAUACAAAAAUAACUAAACUAAAAUUGCUUUCAAACUGUAAUAGCAAAACAUAUCUACAUGGUCGGACCAUUUCAAGGAAAUCCCUUUCAAGCAAAACAGCAAAAGUGUUACUAAUGUUGAUACAGCCAGCAGCGCAUAUCAAAUGUCUAUCGAAUAGCCUUUGGGAUACUCAGUUAGCAUAUUUCCAUCAACUCUACGCUUCAGUCAGAUUGGAGAAAUUAAAAGCUUCAACAUUACAGUUCAAGUAAUAAACACAGCACAGAGAAAUGUAAUCUUUGGUCAGCAUCAUCUUAGUAAUCUUUGGUCAUUCAUGCAAAGAGUAACAUGAGAUAAAAAUAAAAAUAAAUAAACUAACAUGCUUUCAUAUCGUAAUACCACAACAUGCCUAAAUAUCAUAUCAUUAUCAAGCAAAGAGGACUGGCAUUACCGAACAAAUAUAUUAAAAAACUUACUUUAAGAGGUCUAAGACUGGAACUUGAGGUUGAGAUAUGAUUAGAUGAUGUUGAAGUGAUUCUUGAUUGAUUCAGCAAGUUAUGACCAUUUU
rnacentral:lncRNA from 1 species